GUGGGAUUUUCUACAACGCUGCUGUGCACGACAUGGGUGCCAUGUGCAUGUUGCUGGGGGAGGCCACUCCGGACACCGUGUUUUCUCUGGGACACGCCUUCUGCCUGGAUAUGACCUCAUUAAAAGAUGCAGAUGCUGUUGUGAUCAGCAUGAAGUUUCCCUGUGGGGCUGUGGUCAGCGUGGACGUCAGCCAGCACUGUACGGACAGCUGUGACCAGAGACUGGAGGUGCAUGGGUCCCAAGGCAUGCUGCAGAUGGAGAAUCAGAAUCCCCUGGGCAUCACCGGGCGGGCACAUCCCUGUCCCUCUGCUUGCAAAGCCAGGCCAGCUGCUACCAGGACUCGUAUUGAGAGCUCUUCAGACACUUUGUCAGAACCCUUAAAGGUGGGUGAAGUUCUCAGGAGGACACUGGGAUGUUCUGAUGGUCAAUGGGGAGAUGCCUUUCAGGCUGCAGACGAUAUGCCAAUUUCAGGUGGAAAAUUGCAUUCCAGAUACCAGGUUCAGAUUUGCAGUUGUCCAUCCCAGUGAUCAUUUGCGUUACAUGUACUUGAGGGAGAUUCUGAGAUGCCCGUUUGGGGUUCUGUGCGUGUACCCUGUUCCCUGACGUGUCCUAAGAAGUGUUUUUGACUCUGAGGUUUAUAAAGUGACAGUGCUUCUGAACCUCCUGAGCUCUGGUGGAUACCCUGUGUCCUGGAAGACGGGACAUCUUCCCUCUGUCAGUCCUGGGGGUGACUGGGAACAGGGAGCUUGAGCAGAAUUCCUGGACCUGGGUCAGGCUUGUUCAAGAGGGGUGGGUGGGCCUCCCUAGGGCCGGUGUCCCUCCCAGAGGCCGGUGUCCCCUGCACGUUCCCUGCAAGAGGAAGACUGGCUCCCAUGUGUUGGCUUCCAUCCUGAAUCAGUGCAAAUGUGCAUCGUGUGCAGGGAAAGAACCUCCUGAAAUCACCAAAGAGCAGUUCCUUAGGGCCUUCCGGGUGGCUGUGGCCGCGGAGCAGUCGUGGUGGAACCGGCCAGCUGUGGACCUGCCCUGCAAAUUGGCAGAGGCCUCUGCGGUGAAGACAGAAGCCCCGUGAACCAACCCAAGGCUGGAGCCAAGCCCCUGCUCAUAUCCAGUUGCCUGAUUCACUUCUCACUGUUACUGAGAGCAGGAGAUGGAACCUUCCAGGGACCUUGUCCUCACUGGAAACGCAGAAGGGGAGGCAUUGGGAAACCGUAUCUGUUUCAUUGCUGGUGUAAUGAGGCUUUUCAAGAUGCGACUUCACACCGAGGGACGCUGUGUGUGCGCAGGCCCAGUAGAGAUGCUUUUCUGGUCAGGGUUCCCUGGGCGGGGCCUCAGAGUCUCUGGUUGGCUCUCUCAGGAAGAGGGCAGGUCAGGGAUUGACGGGGUAAAUGGACCCGGAAACCUGCCGGUUCAGCUUUUCUGUGGCAAACAGGGCCGAGGGCCGGUGAAGCUGUAAAGACUACACGUUGCGUGCGUGAAGCAGACUGCAGGUCUCCUUAGGCCUUUUUUGGGGUAAUCACACCAGUAUUUAAAGAAGAGUUUUCUUGAAGAAUCUGAUUUUGUGCCUAGUGAUGACACAGCGCCAUUCCUGAGAAGCAGGAACUAUCCACGUGUGGGAUGAAAACCCGUCUUCCGUUCCUGUUGCCUGAGUCUGGGUGUGGAGUGAAUGGAGCCUUUUGGACACGGGCCUUCUCCUUCCUGUUUGCAGGCGGGCGGUGGAGACCUCCCUUCGGAAGGCAGUGCCUUGCAGGGCAGCCUGCCCCAAGUCCAGCUUGGCCUUCCAAAACGAUGUGUGGAAGCUACCGGAGGUGUUUUUAUAUAUUUGAAAAUAAUGGCCUGUAUUUCUCAUGCUGUACUUAAAAAAAAAUAACUUUUUAAACAAAGGUAUUCAGUUCACCCUUGUGUUGAAAGCACU
ensembl:lincRNA